rnacentral:rRNA from 1 species
AUUGAACGCUGGCGGCGUGCCUAACACAUGCAAGUCGAGCGGUAACAGGCGUAGCAAUACGUGCUGACGAGCGGCGAACGGGUGAGUAAUGCUUCGGAAUCUGCCCAGUAGUGGGGAAUAACCAUCCGAAAGGAUGGCUAAUACCGCAUGCGUCCUACGGGAGAAAGCGGGGGAUCGUAAGACCUCGCGCUACUGGAUGA